GUCAAAAACUAGACUCUCUCAAGCUGGAGAGAGAGAACAUUACAUCCACAGCGCAGGAGCGAAGGGAAUGAGACAAUCGCAUGCAGGUUAUACUCGUGCGUGAUUUCAUAAAUUAAAUGUUGCAUCUCCUCUAACGUCCAUGCAUGAACACUGUAAGCAUGCUUUUCAAGGGAGGAAUUCCCCAUCUUGGAAAUUAAACUGCCUGUUCCGUUCUCUGGAUGGCUGAGAUGCAACAUUCGAUGGCUGAAUACUCAAGGACAGCGAGUUUUGAAUGGAAAACACAUCGCUGAAGAGAUGUACCGAAGAGUUGGGCUUUUGACUAGAUGUUUCUGCGCUGCUCAGAGAUUUUAGCGUCAUGUUCUUCAACGCAAGACGCACGGGAUCCUCUAUUUGUCCCCGACACACGGCCACUCGUAGCUUACUUUCUGCCAGAGAGGAAUAUGCAAGUCAAUUGUUAAAAGUCAACUUUAUGAGAUGUUCCACAUUAAAAAAAAAGUGUUGACAGGAGGUAGUUGCUAUCUUUGGUUAUCUAGCUGUAUGAGUGUUUAUCUUCCUUCAUAAAGCUAGAUAACCGAAAGUAGAAACGUCCUCCUUAACUGCAUAGUGGACAAGUUGGGAAGGAAUGAUCGCAGGGAACUGCAUGAGCCUCUCAAACUGCUUUGUCUUUGUGAGAGACCAGAGGACUGGAGCUAAGGGGAAAAUGCCAUCUGGUAAGUGCAAUCAAAGCAUAUUACAAUGCAACAUUGUAAUUAGAACAAUUAGUUGCAGAGUUAAUCUAAGUCAAACACACAGUAAAUCAUAAAGUAAAUGCUAAUGAAUUCAUGCACUUAAAAGGAGCCAAAUGCAAAAAGUCUUUCCCAAUCAAGUUCAAGACACUAUAUGCAUGACAUGGAUCAUUCAUAUGAAAAUCUAUAUAUCUCUUUCUCUCC